GGACCAGGAACAGGCCCUCCACAUGCAGGUCUGGUCAAUUCAUAUCAAUUAGUUAACCAUCUAGGACCAGGAACAGGCCCUCCACAUGCACGUCUGGUCAAUUCAUAUCAAUUAGUUAACCAUCUAGGACCAGGAACAGGCCCUCCACAUGCAGGUCUGGUCAAUUCAUAUCAAUUAGUUAACCAUCUAGGACCAGGAACAGGCCCUCCACAUGCACGUCUGGUCAAUUAAUAUCAAUUAAUUAACCAUCUAGGACCAGGAACAGGCCCUCCACAUGCAGGUCUGGUCAAUUCAUAUCAAUUAUUUAACCAUCUAGGACCAGGAACAGGCCCUCCACAUGCACGUCUGGUCAAUUAAUAUCAAUUAAUUAACCAUCUAGGACCAGGAACAGGCCCUCCACAUGCACGUCUGGUCAAUUCAUAUCAAUUAGUUAACCAUCUAGGACCAGGAACAGGCCCUCCACAUGCACGUCUGAUCAAUUAAAAUCAAUGAAUCAACUACCUAAAACAGGACGGUCUGAUCUGUCUAAAAAUAUCAAUUAUUUUUAUUUAACAGUUAUUUGACUAAGUUUGUCAUUGAGAAUAAAUUGACAUUAUCAAGGACCACCUGUCCAAAUCAAUACAGCAAAAGGAAAAAACCUACAACAGAGAAUCACACAUUAAUAAUGUAGAAAUGUAAAUACAAGUGAAUAAAAACAGCAAGCACAUUGAUCAGAUCAACCACCAAGACACAGGAACAAGG
ensembl:lncRNA